AGGGUUCGAUUCUGGCUCAGGAUGAACGCUGGCGGCGUGCUUAACACAUGCAAGUCGAACGGGAUCCCGGGGGUUCGCUUCCGGGUGAGAGUGGCGAACGGGUGAGUAAUGCGUGACCGACCUGCCCCAUACACCGGAAUAGCUCCUGGAAACGGGUGGUAAUGCCGGAUGCUCCGGUUGGAUGCAUGUCCUUCCGGGAAAGGUUCCAUCGGUAUGGGAUGGGGUCGCGUCCUAUCAGCUUGAUGGCGGGGUAACGGCCCACCAUGGCUUCGACGGGUAGCCGGCCUGAGAGGGCGACCGGCCACAUUGGGACUGAGAUACGGCCCAGACUCCUACGGGAGGCAGCAGUGGGGAAUAUUGCACAAUGGGCGCAAGCCUGAUGCAGCGACGCCGCGUGCGGGAUGGAGGCCUUCGGGUUGUAAACCGCUUUUGAUCGGGAGCAAGCCCUUCGGGGUGAGUGUACCUUUCGAAUAAGCACCGGCUAACUACGUGCCAGCAGCCGCGGUAAUACGUAGGGUGCAAGCGUUAUCCGGAAUUAUUGGGCGUAAAGGGCUCGUAGGCGGUUCGUCGCGUCCGGUGUGAAAGCCCAUCGCUUAACGGUGGGUCUGCGCCGGGUACGGGCGGGCUGGAGUGCGGUAGGGGAGACUGGAAUUCCCGGUGUAACGGUGGAAUGUGUAGAUAUCGGGAAGAACACCAAUGGCGAAGGCAGGUCUCUGGGCCGUCACUGACGCUGAGGAGCGAAAGCGUGGGGAGCGAACAGGAUUAGAUACCCUGGUAGUCCACGCCGUAAACG
rnacentral:rRNA from 1 species